ACUAGUGUGACAUAGUGGUUUGAGUGUUGACUCCAACUCUGGAGACCAGGGUUCGAUUCCCUGCUCAGCC
rnacentral:tRNA from 1 species